rnacentral:rRNA from 1 species
AGUGAACGCUGGCGGUAGGCCUAACACAUGCAAGUCGAACGGCAGCACAGUAAGAGCUUGCUCUUACGGGUGGCGAGUGGCGGACGGGUGAGGAAUACAUCGGAAUCUACUUUUUCGUGGGGGAUAACGUAGGGAAACUUACGCUAAUACCGCAUACGACCUACGGGUGAAAGCAGGGGAUCUUCGGACCUUGCGCGAUUGAAUGAGCCGAUGUCGGAUUAGCUAGUUGGCGGGGUAAAGGCCCACCAAGGCGACGAUCCGUAGCUGGUCUGAGAGGAUGAUCAGCCACACUGGAACUGAGACACGGUCCAGACUCCUACGGGAGGCAGCAGUGGGGAAUAUUGGACAAUGGGCGCAAGCCUGAUCCAGCCAUACCGCGUGGGUGAAGAAGGCCUUCGGGUUGUAAAGCCCUUUUAUUGGGAAAGAAAAGCAGCAGGCUAAUACCCCGCUGUUCUGACGGUACCCAAAGAAUAAGCACCGGCUAACUUCGUG